ACAGAAUGGAGGCUCCAAGAAAUUAAAUAAUCUUCUUGAGAUCACAUCAUCAACAUUACACAUAUUGGUAUGACGACCACUCCAAUCAAGAUAACACAAAGAUCUUACAGCGCGACCUCUUUAGAGUCUCAUCCAUCCCCUUCCACCUCCAAUGUCCAUAAACCCUGGAAAACAAAAAUUUGUUCUUCCAUGUCCAUAGUUUUUUCAUUUCAAUAAUGUUGUAUUUUUAGGCUUUUGAGGAACCUCUAUACAGUUUUCCAUAAUAGAAAUUCUUCAAAAAAACUAAAAAUAUGGCGUUCUUAAAAUGACAAAAUUAUAAAAAAUGGAGAACAAAUUUUACCAUUUGAUCCAGAAAUCCCAUUUCUGAGAUUUCUAAAAAAUUCCGUAUAUCUAAAAGACAUCUGCAUUCCCCAUGUUCAUCACAGUAUUGUCUAUAAUAGACAUGGGAUCAAUCUAUGUCCAUCAACAGAUGAAUUGAUAAAGAAAACAUGGUAUUUAUAAACAAUGGAAUACUACUCAGCCUCGAUGAAGAAAAUUCUGUC
rnacentral:lncRNA from 10 species